rnacentral:rRNA from 1 species
UACGGGAGGUAGCAGUGGGGAAUAUUGCACAAUGGGCGAAAGCCUGAUGCAGCUAUGCCGCGUGUAUGAAGAAGGCCUUAGGGUUGUAAAGUACUUUCAUCGGGGAGGAAAAAACAAAACUAAUAAUUUUAUUUCUUGACGUUACCCGAAAAAGAAGCACCGGCUAACUCCGUGCCAGCAGCCGCGGUAAUACGGAGGGUGCUAGCGUUAAUCAGAAUUACUGGGCGUAAAGAGCACGUAGGUGGUUUUUUUAAAGUCAGAUGUGAAAUCCCUGGGCUUAACCUAGGAACUGCAUUUUGAAACUGAAAUACUAGAGUAUCGUAGAGGGAGGUAGAAUUCUAGGUGUAGCGGUGAAAUGCGUAGAUAUCUGGAGGAAUACCUGUGGCGAAAGCGGCCUCCUAAACGAAUACUGACACUGAGGUGCGAAAGCGUGGGGAGCAAACAGGGAUUAGAUACC